UGGGGAAUUUUGGACAAUGGGCGAAAGCCUGAUCCAGCAAUGCCGCGUGUGUGAAGAAGGCCUUCGGGUUGUAAAGCACUUUUGUCCGGAAAGAAAUGGCUCUGGUUAAUACCUGGGGUCGAUGACGGUACCGGAAGAAUAAGGACCGGCUAACUACGUGCCAGCAGCCGCGGUAAUACGUAGGGUCCAAGCGUUAAUCGGAAUUACUGGGCGUAAAGCGUGCGCAGGCGGUUGUGCAAGACCGAUGCGAAAUCCCCGAGCUUAACUUGGGAAUUGCAUUGGUGACUGCACGGCUAGAGUGUGUCAGAGGGGGGUAGAAUUCCACGUGUAGCAGUGAAAUGCGUAGAGAUGUGGAGGAAUACCGAUGGCGAAGGCAGCCCCCUGGGAUAACACUGACGCUCAUGCACGAAAGCGUGGGGAGCAAACAGGAUUAGAUA
rnacentral:rRNA from 1 species